rnacentral:rRNA from 1 species
UACGGAGGGUGCAAGCGUUGUUCGGAAUCACUGGGCGUAAAGGGCGUGUAGGCGGUCCGCUAAGUCUGAUGUGAAAGCCCGGGGCUCACCCCCGGAAGGGCAUUAGAAACUGGCGGACUCGAGUCCCGGAGAGGAAGGUGGAAUUCCUGGUGUAGCGGUGAAAUGCGUAGAUAUCAGGAGGAAUACCGGUGGCGAAGGCGGCCUUCUGGACGGUGACUGACGCUGAGACGCGAAAGCGUGGGGAGCAAACAGG